UUAUGAAUAUUGUUGUUGUCGAACUUCUUCUUUUAUUUAUUGUAGCAUUGCUAUGGGCUAUAAACACCGUUAUAAAAAUAUAUUUAUGUAUUUAUGUUUUAUGAACUCGAAAGAGUUUUAUCUGAGCUUUCCUUUUUUUCUUUCUCUAAUGUUUCAUUGUAGAGAGAGUACGAGAGAGAGAGAGAGCGAGAGGGAAAUAGUGUGGGCAGCCCACCUUAGCUGAUUAUGUCACUUAUUUAGUUGUUGUUGUUGUUGAAUUUGUUUUAAAUUUUUAUUGUGUUUCUCCUUGGCGUAUCCUUGUCGUAUUUAGCACUUAUGUUGGACACUUGCACUGCGCACCUGGCGAAUAAUUCACGCAUUUAUUUAACAGUUUUGCAGCAACAGCUGGGCGCAGCUGAAGCGUUGUGGGAGGGGGCGUGGUUGGAUGUGGCUCAAUAUGUGAAAAGUGAAUAUUUGUGAAAAUUCAAUAGGAUGACACUGGCUCUGGCUGCGGCUGCGGCGGUGGCUGUGGCUGUGGCAAUGGUGCUGACACUGACAUUGAGGGCCUAGGCAGCGGCGUUCAAGAGCAAGGUAAAGAGGCAACAGCUACAGCUACAGCUAACGGCGACGAGGACGUGGACGAGGACGUGGGCGAGGACGAGGACGAGCACGAGGACUUGAACUGGCAGCCAACAGCUGUUCGGCUGGAUUGCUGCGACCGUUGGGCGCUGCACAAGGACAAGGACACAGCGCGACGCGGACACGGACACACGAUUUCAAUGUUAACAACUUGCCACACUUUAUGGUAUUCUAUUGCAAAUUAGAAUUAUUAAUAUUUUUAUGCGGGCUCCCUUCGGUUCGGCCUGCGUUUGUUGCACAUUUUUGCUUUUUAAACUGGAAUUAAUGAAUUUUAAUAUUUAAUUAGCGUCGGCGAUUUUUAGGCUGUUUUUAAUAUGCUUGAUUGAUGGACGCGCUUUUAGAUUCGCGACCGCUGCAUGCGCCGUACUUUCUCUGACUGAAACUGAAAAUCGCAAAAAGCUUGCAGGCUGAGAGCAGAACCGAA